UACGAAGGGGGCUAGCGUUGCUCGGAAUCACUGGGCGUAAAGCGCACGUAGGCGGAUUGUUAAGUCAGGGGUGAAAUCCUGGAGCUCAACUCCAGAACUGCCUUUGAUACUGGCGAUCUCGAGUCCGGGAGAGGUGAGUGGAACUCCGAGUGUAGAGGUGAAAUUCGUAGAUAUUCGGAAGAACACCAGUGGCGAAGGCGGCUCACUGGCCCGGUACUGACGCUGAGGCACGAAAGCGUGGGGAGCAAACAGG
rnacentral:rRNA from 1 species